GCAUCAUUGGUCUAGUGGUAGAAUACAACGUUGCCAUCGUUGUGACCCGAGUUCGUUUCUCGGAUGAUGCA
rfam:Perkinsus marinus ATCC 50983 gcontig_1104296202516, whole genome shotgun sequence.